AUCCCAGAUAAGCUGAGAUUUGGUGCUUGUCUGAUUCAUGGGAGGCCUAAAUCAACGGUGGAGGUUUCGCUGAUAAUGCCUUCUCUUCUUCUUGGAAGGCAUUUAUUAGUAACUUUUCCAUACAUCU